UCAAUACCCUGGUGGCCAGCAGUUGGCGU
rnacentral:sRNA from 1 species